AUUGAACGCUGGCGGCGGGCUUAACACAUGCAAGUCGAGCGAGCGGCGGACGGGUGUGUAAUGUGUGGGAAACUGCCUGAUGGAGGGGGAUAACUACUGGAAACGGUAGCUAAUACCGAAUACCAUCGGAUGUGCCCAGAUGGGAUUAGCUGGUGGGUGGGGUAAUGGCUCACCUAGGCGACGAUCCCUUGCUGGUCUGAGAGGAUGACAAGCGCAACUGGAACUGAGAAACGGUCCAGAGUCCGAGGGGCGGCAGGAAUGGGGAAGAUGGCGCAAUGGGAGCAUGCCUGAUGCAGCCAUGCCGCGUGUGUGAAUAAGGCAUGCGGGUUGUAAAGCACUUUCAGUCAGGAGGCGUUACUUGCAGAAGAAGCACCGGCUAACUCCGUGCCAGCAGCCGCGGUAAUAC
rnacentral:rRNA from 1 species